CUUCCAGGAGCAGAGAGGAGCAAACGCAUUUCUCUACCCUGGGAACUUGUUGCUCCCCUAAACUCCAGCAGAACAGAGAAAGUACCAGAACUCUGCACACCCGAGGUUAGCACCUGUGGACACCACUCAGGAGGUUUGUGACGUCUUCCCUUUUGUUGAUGUAGCACAUUUAUGGACUUUCAUAUGUGGAUCAUACUGGCAUGUCUGGAAUAAAUCCCACUUGAUCAUGGGACCCGAUUAAGGUAUGGAAAUGUGCAUCAGUCCCAACAUGUCUAAGAGUGUUAACAGCCUGUGUCCUUUCCUGAAAAGGCUGAACUUCAAGUUAAGAUUAAUACUGCUUAUGUGCUCUCCUGCCCCUCAAGGGUAGAACAUCAACAUUUUCAAGAAGAAACAAAAAAGAGAAGUCUAAAAAGUUAACAGCCACUCUUGUUCUACAAAUAUAUUCCCAGGUAUAGAGUUAGGCUGAGAAGAGCAUUGUUUAUUAAAUGAAUAGAGAAAAUGGUUUUCAAAACAAGUAAGGACCAGAUUUGGGGUGAAUUAACUUCUCACUUGCAAGAGAAGUGAGGAAGUGCAUUCUUGGUAAUAAAGAGUGGCAACUUAAUUGUUACCAGUGAAUUUCAAUGCUCUUGUGGGAAGCAUAAUGGGAAUUCCAUCAGACAAGGUUCGG